rnacentral:rRNA from 1 species
GACGAACGCUGGCGGCGUGCUUAACACAUGCAAGUCGAACGGAAAGGCCCUGCUUUUGUGUGGUUCUCGAGGGGCGAGCGUGUGAGUAACAUGUGAGUAACCUUCCCUGUACUUUGUGAUAACUUCAGGAAACUGCGGCUAAUACCUGAUAGGUGCUCCUGCUGCAUGGUGGGGGUUGGAACGUUUCGUCGGUUGGGGAUGGACUCAGGGCUUAUCAGCUUGUGGGUGGGGUAAAGGCCUACCAAGGCGUCGAUCCGUAACCGGCCUGAGUGGAGGAUCAGGCACAAGGGAGCGGAGACACGGUCCAGAGUCCUACGGGAGGCAGCAGUGGGGAAUGGUGGACAAGGGGGGAAAGCCUGAUCCAGCCAGGGCGCGUGUGUGAAGAAGGUCUUCGGAGUGUAAAGCACUUUAAGUUGGGAGGGAGGGCAGUAAGUUAAUACCUGGCUGUUGUGACGUUACCAACAGAAUAAGCACCGGCUAACUUCGUG